GACGAACGCUGGCGGCGUGCCUAAUACAUGCAAGUCGAACGCUUCCUACCGGUGCUUGCACCGGGAAAGAAGAGUGGCGGACGGGUGAGUAACACGUGGGUAACCUACCUACAAGCGGGGGAUAAUAUUCGGAAACGGAUGCUAAUACCGCAUAGAUCUUUUUGUCUCCUGACAGAAAGAAGAAAGACGGUUUCGGCUGUCACUUGUAGAUGGACCCGCGGCGCAUUAGUUAGUUGGUGAGGUAAUGGCUCACCAAGACGAUGAUGCGUAGCCGACCUGAGAGGGUGAUCGGCCACACUGGGACUGAGACACGGCCCAGACUCCUACGGGAGGCAGCAGUAGGGAAUCUUCCGCAAUGGACGAAAGUCUGACGGAGCAACGCCGCGUGAGUGAAGAAGGUUUUCGGAUCGUAAAACUCUGUUGUUAGAGAAGAACAAGGAUGAGAGUAACUGCUCGUCCCUUGACGGUAUCUAACCAGAAAGUCAUGGCUAACUACGUGCCAGCCGCCGCGGUAA
rnacentral:rRNA from 1 species